rnacentral:rRNA from 1 species
CGGAACGUGCCCAAUCGUGGGGGAUAACGCAGCGAAAGCUGUGCUAAUACCGCAUACGAUCUACGGAUGAAAGCAGGGGACCGCAAGGCCUUGCGCGAAUGGAGCGGCCGAUGGCAGAUUAGGUAGUUGGUGAGGUAAAGGCUCACCAAGCCUGCGAUCUGUAGCUGGUCUGAGAGGACGACCAGCCACACUGGGACUGAGACACGGCCCAGACUCCUACGGGAGGCAGCAGUGGGGAAUUUUGGACAAUGGGCGCAAGCCUGAUCCAGCCAUGCCGCGUGCAGGAUGAAGGCCUUCGGGUUGUAAACUGCUUUUGUACGGAACGAAAAGGCUCUUUCUAAUAAAGGGGGCUCAUGACGGUACCGUAAGAAUAAGCACCGGCUAACUACGUGCCAGCAGCCGCGGUAAUACGUAGGGUGCGAGCGUUAAUCGGAAUUACUGGGCGUAAAGCGUGCGCAGGCGGUGAUGUAAGACAGUUGUGAAAUCCCCGGGCUCAACCUGGGAACUGCAUCUGUGACUGCAUCGCUGGAGUGCGGCAGAGGGGGAUGGAAUUCCGCGU